UCUAAUACAAAUUGCAGGCAACUUUAUUUCUUGCCUAAUGGAGCUGAUUCAGAAAAAGCUAUAAAAAGAGAGUUGCAGAACACAGAGGGGAGGGGAAACACAAUAGAAGCAUUUGUAAACAAAAAAGAAAUCAAAACAAAUAGGACUCUAGACCUCGCACGGCCGACGCGCCAAGAUCUCCUUCAUGCCAACAACCGUUGCAUGCCCUGUAUUCCAACCACGAACAACCACCGCCCAGUUCCACAUCACCGCCUUCAUCGCACCUCUUCCCUUUCUAUUGUCAUCCGACUCACAUCACCACCAUCACCAAUGUUUGCCCGGUUCAG